UUCAAGGGAGAUAACUGCACCCAGGGCGUUUUGCGCCAGUUUCAAACAGUACUUGAUUUCGUGUGUUUACAAACAGCAGGCACUGAAUAGUUAAAGAUUUAAAGUCAUGUAGUACUUUUAAACAUGUUACAAGCAGAUCAAUGGCCAGAUUUCUGUGAGAUAAUGCGAUACAGGCCAGGAUGUCUUCCUCCUGGACACAACGAGGGAAAGUUGUUGCCUGUGCGACAGAAAUAAUUGUCGGUGCUACAAAUCAACUUUCUGUGUCUGUCCACAUCACCAACUUAAUUCAUUUUCUACUGCUGCUGUUGGUAGAGACUCAUUUUCACCAGAAGAUAGUGCGGUGUGUAUUUAUUCAAAACAGAUUUUUUUCAAUGAGGAUGACACUCAUGAAGCAAUGGAUAGCAGCGAUUACAAUGUCAACACAAGUUUCUGUAACUGAGAAACAAGAAGACGUCACAAUUCUCUAGCAAGAAUCCUCAAAGCCACAAUUCUGCCAAAUCCUUCAACACCUCCACCAGCACAAGGCCCCUUGUCUAUCCAAUGGUCCAGAGCCGCCAAAGGCCUACUACUCUACCGCCGAGCUAUGUGUCAUGUCAGACAUCGCCUAUCACAAAAGCUAAACUAUUAACAAGGAUUUACUGCAGGAAAAGUGGGCUUUGAAAAACGAUUUCUGUAAAUUGGCAGAGAGUUGUUGUGAGCAGUUGAGAGGAUUAUGAGCGAAAUGCCCGUGUUUACAAAACAUAAAGACUUGUGAAUGCAAUUGUGUGUUUUUAAGAGAAAAGCUGUUCACUGUAGUGUAUGGCGACUACACAGUGGCUUACUUGCAGUGUGACAAAUACUUGAGUUCAGCAGCAACAGGUUGCAGUGAAAGGUAAAAGCUUCUCUCUACAGUCGCUUUGUUGUUCAAUCCUGUGGAAGGUGGGCGUGGAGCAGAUGUGUGACUGCUGAUAACAAAGCUCAUCUGAUAAGCUGCUGAUGUGUGACUGGCAGUCAGCUUGUGUAGGACUCAUUUCUCGCAAAGCUUGUGCAUGACUCGUGGCUACUUUGUCACAUGACACUACGACAGAAUAUUUUAAUACAAAACAUAAAGUAUUCGAUGAUUAACGAUGUGUUAAAUAUCAACACGCUACUUAUAUCACAACAACCAUCCAUUGUGCUGUAUCACAGAAGACUGGUAUAUGGUCAUCAACAAUACACUGUAUAUUCAUUUUAGUGUAUUUAUCUCUUAGUGUGUGUGUGUAACGCGGUCUUCGACUGGGCGCCAUUUUGUCUCUGUGGCAACAACAGGUGGCGCUGUUGUCCUGUUGUAGUGUACCGCGGACUUGUCUAAAUAACGGGAGUUUUCUGACCGCUGAUCUCCUCUUCUCUGAGGUCUUUGAGGAUGGUAUAAGGUGCUCCAUGAAUAAAAGUUGUCGUCGUCGUCGUCAUCAUCUUCAUCAUAAUUAUUUCAUAGCUUCACACGUCCACACCUGGGUGAGUAGAGGGAUACUUUCCUGUCCAUGUUGUCUGUUGGCCGAUGGCAGCCUGACCAGUUUGCUGUCUAUUGUGACAGGGAUUGUUUACUAGUCAACAAGGGCCAUAGUGUACAUGAGUACAUGAAACCUCUGUAGGCUAUCCAAGGAUGGGAACUAGAUGUUGUACAAGUCUGUUUACAACUGGUAUAGACUGGAUUCUAUCUGUUAGAGGUGUAAAGGAAACUGUUCCGUAGAAUGCUACCUGAAUAUUACAGGCUCGUGUUCAAUAAGUCGAUUUUUACUUUGGUUUGAGCUUAUUACAUAUUACAUGAUGAUGAUGAUGAUGAUGAUGAUGAUGAUGAUGAUGAUGAUGAUGAUGAUGUUUAUUUAUAAUGCGCAGAUAUCCAUUCAAAAAGAAUGCUCAGUGUGCAGAAAAGACAAAAUAAAAAAUAAAAAAAUAAUAAUAUUAGAUGUUUACAGUGCGCUAUUCCCAAGUCUGUUCAACGCGCUGUACCAAUCCGACAAGCAUGUAUAACACACACACACACACUGAAAUGCACACAUGCAGACCCCGCCCCCAAUCCACACAAACACUCACGCAACUAUAAUAGAGAAAAGUGUUGAUAGCUGGGAUUCGAAGCCGCCAUGAGGGCAGUGUCAGCACAUGAGGCAGCUGCGGACGUCGGUUCUCAAACCAGUUGAGUGUCUAAUGGACUGGCAGCCAUGGAAACUUCCAGAGUCCGGCAUGCACACACAGACUGUGGCAGAGGCGUCGCCUCAACACCAAGGCCGUGUUCAACAGUUCACAAGACAUUAGAAGGUUUUAGUCCACGCUGCUGAUACACGUUGAUCCUGAAUCCAAAAUGUAACAAAGCGGUUCAAGAUGGCAAACUGUCAAAUGUGCAAGUGAUGGAAGUGGAGUAAAUAGUGUAGAAAAUAUAGACGACUCUAGAAACAGAAAGACAGAGAGACAGAGAUGUUGGAUUCCAGAUACGAACCCACGACAACAGAUUCUCUUUAUGGAGGUGACAGACACAGUCGCUUGUUACCUCCCUUAGUGGGGCACCUCUUGGGGUUUGACUGUCAGUAGCUUUACUGUCAUGGGGGCUUCUCCCUCCCGUGGCCUACACCUCCAGGAGUCAAGAGGGCAGCCGCACCCUAAAAAAGACACUAAAGGGGCAAUAUGGUUUUGACUCCCUCUUUAACAUGUGCUUGAGUUACUGUUCACAAAGUACAAAAAGUGUAGAGGAGCAGAGAGAGAGAUGACAAAUCUGUAUCUACCAGAGUAGCACAAUAAGCUUUUUGUUUACAUCUAUGAUAUGAGUAUAAACUUUAAACUAUUCUGAAUAUUACAUAAUUACAUAAGUCCUUAUUCAUUGAACUUUUUUUCUGAUUAUGUGUUGCUUUGUCUGUUAAAACUGAAAGCAACAUUGUUGUGAGGCUAGAACUCCAAUCCUCUUCCUUUAUGUUGAAAUGUGAGAAAGUGAGUGUUGUUCACUGUGAGCAUGAAGUGAGAGAGUGAGUAUUGGUCACCGUCAGCAUAGAGUGAGCCUCCUUGCCCCCCACCAAAGCUCAGACUCUCCCUCUGUCACUGCCAUCUUGUGGUUUAAUGCCACGUGAUCCGCUGUCAUGGUGAUCACUUGUAGCGUGCUAAAACUGUAAAUACUACACUUUCUUUUAAGUUUUAUUUACAGGAAAAUUUCUUGAGUUUAAAAGUUAUUAGAAUGUCUCCCACACUAUUUAUUUUUGUUGUUUCUACUGUUUUGUCCAGCUACGUGUCAUGUCAGACAUCGGCCUGCCAUCUGACAGCCAGAAUAAGUCAGUUUUGUUACACAACAUCAACUUUAAAAUGUUUCUGUCGUAAUGAGACUUACCCAUAAUGUUCUCAGAUGUUUAUGUCAAUCGUUGUACGGAGAAACCUUCAUUAUAACACUUGUGUAGCUCUGUGUGGAUGCUUCAUUUAACUUGUGUGUUUGUCUGUGUGACUGGUUGUCUGUCUUUUUAUAUCUCUUUGCAUCUUGCUGGCUGUGUACCCCUCAGCGUCACAUGUUUGUAGAGGAAGAUGUAGGCUGUUACAAUGAGAAGGAAUGCUGACCAUGUGACCAAUACAACGAAUGCACACCUUGUCAAACAUCAGUCAUCACGUGUCUUAUUGUACAGGCUGCACAAAUUUUUGUUUUAUGAAAACUGAAUGUAAAGUGUGAAGAGUUUGUGACGAGUUAAGAAAAGAUAGGAAGAGAAAAAUGGUAAAGAAAGCGGGUGAUAUCAGAGAGAAAGAGAGAGAGACAGAGAGAGAGUCAGAAAAAGAGAGAGACAGAGAGAAACAGAGAGUGACAGAGAGAAAGAGAGAGACAAAGAGAGAGACUGUAAGAGACAGAGAGAGAGACAGAGAGACAGACACAGAGAGAGAGAGAGACUGAGAGAGAUACAGAGAGAAAGACAGAGAGAGACAGAAUAUACAGGUAUUGUCAGGUGUGUAUGUUCCUUUUGCUAGCGCAACGGCUUUUCCAACUUUUAAGUCUAGAC